rnacentral:miRNA from 1 species
GGCAGGAGUGUCCUUGCUGUCCUGUGCCCUCCUGGCUUCUGCCUGUCCCAGGGGGAGCGCCAGAUCUUGGGCUGUGUCC